rnacentral:rRNA from 1 species
UGGGGAAUAUUGCACAAUGGGCGAAAGCCUGAUGCAGCAACGCCGCGUGAAGGAUGAAGGUCUUCGGAUUGUAAACUUCUAUCAGUAGGGAAGAAUAAAUGACGGUACCUAACUAAGAAGCUCCGGCUAACUACGUGCCAGCAGCCGCGGUAAUACGUAGGGAGCGAGCGUUAUCCGGAUUUACUGGGUGUAAAGGGUGCGUAGGCGGUUUUUUAAGUCAAAAGUGAAAUUUCGGGGCUCAACCCCGGAGCUGCUUUUGAAACUGGAGAACUAGAGUGUGGGAGAGGAAAGCGGAACUUUGAGUGUAGCGGUGAAAUGCGUAGAGAUUCAAAGGAACACCAGUAGCGAAGGCGGCUUUCUGGACCAUUACUGACGCUGAGGCACGAAAGCGUGGGGAGCAAACA